CACCCUUCUGUUUGUGGUGCACAAGGACUUGAGAGGAAGGGGCAAACAUUUGGUUUUUGAAAAUAGCCAUACUUUUCAGACCUCCUGCUAGGAAAACAUGCUUGGGAGACCGACACCCCCUUGCUUCAUUAAACGAAACCAAAACAAACCAACAGAAAACCCGCGCAAGGAGAAGUCUCAUCACUGAAAAGUUUUCUGUCUGAUGCACCCUGGACCUCAUCUUGUCCUGUGGGACCCGCUGGUUAGCAACCUCUCCUGGAAAGCCUUCUAGCAGCCCUUCAUUUAAUUGCUCAUUUGGAAAGAAAGGCUGUGUUCUGGGAAGCUUGGAAAAGCAGAGGGUGUUUCUCAGUGACACUAGGGCUACUGUGAUGUCAGGAAAAGGAACUGAAGAAACCAAAAAGAAUAACCCUAACUGAAACACAAAAAAACUAAAGCAAACGCCUCCGCCCUACAAUGAUCCGAACGGGGUAAAACUGAAGCAUGUUGCGCCAGCCGGGCCUCGUGCAGCAGCGCAGCUCCACCGGCAGGAUUGUUCCCGGGGCAGAGACCCGCGGGCAAGGCGGAAGCCAGGUGGCGCCGCUUUCCCAGCAGGGCCACUGAGGGGAAGCCCCCGUCUCUGCGCAGGCGCCCGGCGCGGGGAGCGUGUGCGCGGGAGCUGGGGCUGCUCUCCUCUCCGCUCCGCUCCGCUCCGCUCCCGUGCUCGCGGCUCCCGGCCGCUUGUCUCCCGCGGAUUUCCUUCGGGAAGGGCGAAAAGCCCUCGCAAGGUUUGCCUUCGCAAGCUGCUGGAGGCGGCGGCGCCACGUCCGAGGUGCAGGUGCGCGCACUGGGGCCGGCGGCGCAGCCGGGAGCCGGAGCCAGGUAUGCUGCUUUAAGCCAACCCCUCCCUGCCGAUGUCCCAACACAUCGCAUCCAGCCUGGAGGCUGGGUGUAUAUAAAAAGUUUAAGGGGAGACCGUUUCCAAGUUAAGUGACAAGGACCGUAUGUAGUCCUCCUCACCUCCCACACCGCCAUAAGAGUAUCAGAAAAAGACAACUGGAUUCAUUAUACUCAUACAAAGAAGACAGAAGUUUCAUCAGAGCUCAGGAUUGGCUCCAACGCGAGCUUCCCUGACCUGGAAAAGGGGAAGCCAGAAGAAGACGACUGCAGAUUUCACAGGAGCACCGCACGCCCGCCUGACCGCGACAAGGGUGAGCCAGAAACGGACAAAAAAAUUAAGACAAACACCUCCUGGACCUGCAGCCCAUUAGAUAAUAUAAAACUCAAACUAACCAAGGUCCACUAAUGAACUGUCACCCUUUUGGGGUCCUGCCCAGCCCAGAGAGCACCGAACUCCAAGUACUGCAUCCUCUAGACACUUUUGGAUCAGCUGAAACCAAGCACUUUGAGACUGUAACAUGUCCCAGAAGAUCAGUUAUUAAGAGCUGCAGGGUUAUACAUACUGUUUGUGCUGAUUUUUAUUAUAAUAUGGUUUUUAUAACUAUGUUAUUUCUAAUCUUUCUCUUUGCUGGAGAAAUAAGUCUCUCACAGGGGUCGGCUAUAGCUGCCAGUUGCUAUAAGUGUGCUAAUCCUGGUGCCCGAGGUUUUCCUGUCUGAAUAAGUGAUUCAAUCGAACUCUCUGAUAUAGCCGGGAAGGUCAACAUUGCCCCUUGAUAUCCUCCCUCACAUUGCUGUAGUUCAGCAGAAGUUCGGGUAUUUACUUAUGGAACAGAAUAUUGUAUAAAGCCUAGCCCCACCCAGUUUUCAGACAAUUUACAAAGUCUCCUCAGGCUAAGGCUACUCUUAAGCCUACUGUUGCCCAUAUCUCUGAUAACAAUAUGCAUCUCCAAUAUGUUGACAGAGCCGCUAAAGCAGAAAACCAAAGUGAUUGUUGGGUGUACAGUCAUUUUCCUCUCCACACCCAAGGAGAAAUUCCCAUGACUCCCAUCCCCUUGGGCCCCGAGUCACUUUUAAACCCCUCUAAUAACCAAGCUUGGGACCAAAGUCAGCAGGAGUUCCUUUUAAUAAAGCCUGUUGUUAAAAAUUGGUGUUUCUAUAUAAACUGCUCAGUAUCAGACUGCAUUAAUUUAGACACAAACAUAUGUCACCACUAUUUUACUAGUUCAAGUGGAGGAGACUGGCAUAAUAACAACACAGCAACUCCUACCUAUUGCAGCUCUUACAAUGAUUUCUACAACAACAACAACUUAACCAAGGGCACUAAUCCUAUCUGCACCCCCAUCUCCUCUUUAAAUAAUACCUUGUGGUAUUGUUUGUACACUGAUACCUCCCGGGGACAACGCUUCUUCAAUGGAACUGCAAAUCCUUCCUUUAAAUCAGAGGGUGAACGCGGGGUGCUAGGAUUAGGAAACGGGGGCUGAAUACCUCCUAAGUAUUCAAACCUCGCUGCUUUAAAAGGAAAAUACUGGGUGUGUGGCUCCCACGCCUACCAUAAAAUCCCUGCCAAAGGAAAAGGUAUCUGCUAUCCGGCAAUGCUAAAACCCUCUAUGUCCUUCGCCACGCACCUUCCACGGGACAGGUGGCGAAACAAGAGGGAUUUGCAAGAAAGCCGUGAUAUAGUAGACAAAUAUCAAAAAACUCCGCUUACCAAAGGAGUAUUAGUCGGGUGUUCUUUAGCAGAUAUACUCCCGGGAAUAGACACUGCUUGUCUUGGAAGAUUUACACCAUGCCUGCAAGCUGUGAUAAAAAUCAUGGCUCAUAAAUUCAGUAAAGAUCACAAGGAACUCUCAAAGGCCAUUGCUGCCUUGGCUGACACCAAGAAGAACUCUGACAAAUGAUAAUUGAAAACCGUAUAGCCCUUGAUUUUCUCCUUGCUGCUCAAGGGGGAGCUUGUGCGGAUAUCGGACCAGAAUGUUGCGUUUGGGUUAACAGUUCUUUUACAAUAGUACAAACCCACCUCAAUGAUACAGCUGUCCAUAUCCAAAAAGCUAAAGAUAUAGCUAAAAUCCCCAAAGAUACAUCUCUUAGUUGGCUCACUAAUUGGUUGCCUUCCCUUACAGGAUGGCUUAGACCUUUUAUAUUAAGCUUAAUCGGAAUUGUUAUAACUAUAAUCUGCCUGUUGUGCUGUUUUCAGUGUCUGUGCUGUCUAGGACAACAGUUUAUGCAAAGACAAGUAAAAAUAUAUGGUCAGUUUAUACAAAUAUCCAUUAUCAAUCAUCCAAACCUAACCCCACAAAAAGUUAAAUACCUAAAAGUGUGUUCCAAAAUUUCCUCUGGAAAAUUAAAACAAAGGGAGGAAUUGUAGUGCACAGGUUUGUUAUUACCCUGAAAUAAAAUAGUUUUUUGAUAGCAUACUGUUAGGCUUACAAUAAUUUGGAUUAUUAAGAAGUAUUAGCUUUACAGCUGAAUACAAGGCAUGACCUGUGGCCUAGCAAUACAGCUGACCACAUGGCAGAAUGGUACAAGCAAAGGCUUGGCUGUCAUAUAAUCAUUAACUCUAUUAAGCAUUUUUCAAGUUAAAAAAUAGAUCUGUGUGCUGAAAAGUCAGCUACAGCAAGAAGCAAGAUAAGACAGGGAAACCAUUGUUCUGGGUGCACUGGUUGUGUCCUUGAGAAGUAUCUACUACUGUAUAAGGUUUUGCUAACAUAUUAUAAUGUUACUGUUACUUAACUUUUAGCUUUUAGAAAGUGCUAGUUCAGCUUAAUAGAAAUAUGCCGUUACAAAGAUUUGCAAAGCACCACCCAAGUAUUGCUUUGUUGUUAACCAUGUAGUCUUGCCUUGCUGUAAGAAGUAUAAAAGAUCACCUCACCCUUGGGGGGGGGGGGGGGGGGCCAUUUUGCCUUUUGCUGGCUUUAUGGUCUUUGCUCUAGCAAAUAAACAGCUGUCUGUCUUUA